rnacentral:rRNA from 1 species
GGACUACCGGGGUAUCUAAUCCCGUUCGCUCCCCUAGCUUUCGUCCCUCAGCGUCAGGAACCCUCCAGGACAUUGCCUUCGCCUUUGGUGUUCUUCCGGAUAUCUACGCAUUUCACCACUCCACCCGGAGUUCCAUGUCCCUCUCUGGCCCUCAAGUCUACCCGUUUCGUCAACGCUCUCCCAGUUAAGCCAGGAGCUGUCAUCCACGACGCGCUAGACCGCCUGCGGACCCUUUACGCCCAGUAACUCCGGACAACGCUCGCCCCCUACGUAUUACCGCGGCUGCUGGCAC